GAUGAACGCUAGCGGCAGGCUUAACACAUGCAAGUCGAGGGGCAGCAUGAAGGUUAGCAAUAACCUUUGAUGGCGACCGGCGCAAGGGUGCGUAACGCGUGAGCAACUUGCCCGUUUCAGGGGGAUAACCGGUGGAAACGCCGACUAAUACCCCAUGGCAUCAUCAGGAGGCAUCUCCUUAUGAUUAAAGAAUUUCGGAAACGGAUAGGCUCGCGUGACAUUAGCUAGACGGCGGGGUAACGGCCCACCGUGGCGACGAUGUCUAGGGGUUCUGAGAGGAAGGUCCCCANACUGGAACUGAGACACGGUCCAGACUCCUACGGGAGGCAGCAGUGAGGAAUAUUGGUCAAUGGUCUGACGACUGAACCAGCCAUGCCGCGUGAAGGUGACGGCCCUA
rnacentral:rRNA from 1 species